CCCUUAGAUGUUCUGGGCCGCACGCGCGCUACACUGAUACGUUCAACGAGUUUACAACCUUGAUCGAAGGGUCUGGGUAAUCUUUUGAAUGCGCAUCGUGCUAGGGAUAGACUAUUGCAAUUAUUAGUCUUGAACGAGGAAUUCCUAGUAAACGCAAGUCAUCAGCUUGCAUUGAUUACGUCCCUGCCCUUUGUACACACCGCCCGUCGCACCUACCGAUUGAAUGACUCGGUGAAAUAUCGGGACCGUUGUCUGGUUUGAUUCAUUUCGAACUAGAUAGUGGGAACUUUCUUUAACCUAUUUAUUUAGAGGAAGGUGAAGUCGUAACA
rnacentral:rRNA from 1 species